GCGUAGCCGACCUGAGAGGGUGAUCGGCCACACUGGGACUGAGACACGGCCCAGACUCCUACGGGAGGCAGCAAGUAGGGAAUCUUCCGCAAUGGACGAAAGUCUGACGGAGCAACGCCGCGUGAGUGAUGAAGGUUUUCGGAUCGUAAAGCUCUGUUGUUAGGGAAGAACAAGUGCAAGAGUAACUGCUUGCACCAUGACGGUACCUAACCAGAAAGGCCACGGCUAACUACGUGCCAGCAGCCGCGGUAAUACGUAGGUGGCAAGCGUUGACCGGAAUUAUUGGGCGUAAAGGGCUCGCAGGCGGUUUCUUAAGUCUGAUGUGAAAGCCCCCGGCUCAACCGGGGAGGGUCAUUGGAAACUGGGAAACUUGAGUGCAGAAGAGGAGAGUGGAAUUCCACGUGUAGCGGUGAAAUGCGUAGAGAUGUGGAGGAACACCAGAGGCGAAGGCGACUCUCUGGUCUGUAACUGACGCUGAGGAGCGAAAGCGUGGGGAGCGAACAGGAUUAGAUACCCUGGUAGUCCACGCCGUAAACGAUGAGUGCUAAGUGUUAGGGGGUUUC
rnacentral:rRNA from 1 species